UAAUUGAAACCAAAUAAGAGGUAUAUUACUGUUAAUGAUAAAAAUGAGAGCUUCUCCAAUUAAG
rnacentral:tRNA from 1 species